AAGCGUUGAAGUAUAACAGCGUACCGGAAAGCCUUGUUAUACAGAGCUUUCGAGAGGGGUUGUGCAGUGAAACCUCAAACCGGAGUAGGUGUUUUACCGAAAGAAAAUGCUCAAA
ncrna:[Clostridium] clostridioforme 90A6 drum RNA